rnacentral:rRNA from 1 species
UACGUAGGGUGCGAGCGUUAAUCGGAAUUACUGGGCGUAAAGCGUGCGCAGGCGGCCGCGCAAGUCGUGUGUGAAAGCCCCGGGCUUAACUUGGGAAUUGCGCUCGAAACUACGUGGCUGGAGUGUGGCAGAGGAAGGUGGAAUUCCACGUGUAGCGGUGAAAUGCGUAGAGAUGUGGAGGAACACCAAUGGCGAAGGCAGCCUUCUGGGCCAACACUGACGCUCAUGCACGAAAGCGUGGGGAGCAAACAGG